rnacentral:hammerhead_ribozyme from 1 species
AUCCGGCUGACGAGUCCCGAAUAGGACGAAACGCGCAUCUUGGAU